rnacentral:rRNA from 1 species
UACGGAGGGUGCGAGCGUUGUUCGGAAUUACUGGGCGUAAAGCGCGUGUAGGCGGCCGAUUAAGUCUGGUGUGAAAGCCCGGGGCUCACCCCCGGAAGUGCGCUGGAAACUGGUCGGCUAGAGUAUGGGAGAGGAAAGUGGAAUUCCCGGUGUAGCGGUGAAAUGCGUAGAUAUGUGGAGGAAUACCGAUGGCGAAGGCAGCCUCCUGGGCCAACACUGACGCUCAUGCACGAAAGCGUGGGGAGCAAACAGG